UAUUAUGUCUCUGGUUUC
rnacentral:sRNA from 1 species